rnacentral:rRNA from 1 species
GACGAACGCUGGCGGCGGGCUUAACACAUGCAAGUCGAACGGUAAAACUUUAACAGUCCCUUUCGGGGCGAAGAUAGGCGGGAGGAGCGGCGGAGUGGGGAGUAACACGUGAGUAAGCUGCAUUAGAACUUGAGAUGGUCGCUGGAACCCCGUAUCAAUACCAGAUAAAAUCAGAAUGACUUAUGUCAUAACGCUCAAAACUGCGGUGGUCUAAGAUGGACUCGUGUCGCAUUGGCUGGUUGGUAGAGUAAAAGCCUACCAAGGGGACGAUGGGUAGCCGGGCAGUGAGGGUGGGCGGCGACAUCGAAACUGAGCAGCGGUCCGAACUCCUACGGGAGGCAGCAGUGGGGAAUAUUGCACAAUGGAGGGAACGCAGAUGCAGCUACGCUGCGUGAACGAAGAAGGCUUUGGAGACGGAAAGUUCUUUUAUAUGGGAGGAUAAUGACGGUACCAGAAGAAGAAGCCCCGGCUAACUACGUG